GGGGAUGUUAUUGGCUUCGACGCCGGUGAUGAAACUCAUAGAUGCAUGCCGAGAGCGCAUUUUCUCUCGUAAAUAAAAUUUGCAUUUAAAUAGUCGCAAACGACGAAACUUACGCUCUAGCUGCCUAAGGGCCGCUUGUCCGCUUCCUAGAAUACUUGUGGUCUGGGAACCCGACUGAAGCGCACGCACACAAGUCCGUAUAGAGUCAAGCCUCGGGGCUUUAUACCAAACUUAGAGGAUCGCACCUUGUACCCUGUUCGUCGGGUCACUUGGUGUUAAAACAAUAGACGAUAUCUAAGCA
rnacentral:tmRNA from 1 species